rnacentral:lncRNA from 1 species
UUUCCAAGGCCCAAGGGUUGGGCAUCCCAUCUUCCCACAUAUCUAAGUUGAGGAUGAUUUCUUCUACAGCAAAGAAUAGGGACAAAGGCUAUAGUUCAAGUGUUGAGUUUGCGGUCAAAGAUCAAAGGUUGAUCAAAGGUUCAAAAGGUCAGAUUCAUCUUGGAGAAGAUGGAUCUACAAUGAGAAGAAAGGUUUAAGGUUGAUCUCGGUGGAUACCUGUAGAGAUCGGAU